rnacentral:rRNA from 1 species
GCAUAUCAAUAAGCGGAGGAAAAGAAACCAACAGGGAUUGCCCUAGUAACGGCGAGUGAAGCGGCAACAGCUCAAAUUUGAAAUCUGGCUUCGGCCCGAGUUGUAAUUUGCAGAGGAAGCUUUGGGCGCGGCACUAUCUGAGUCCCCUGGAACGGGGCGCCAAAGAGGGUGAGAGCCCCGUAUAGAUGGACGCCUAGCCUGUGUAAAGCUCCUUCGACGAGUCGAGUAGUUUGGGAAUGCUGCUCAAAAUGGGAGGUAAAUUUCUUCUAAAGCUAAAUACCGGCCAGAGACCGAUAGCGCACAAGUAGAGUGAUCGAAAGAUGAAAAGCACUUUGAAAAGAGGGUUAAAUAGCACGUGAAAUUGUUGAAAGGGAAGCGCUUGUGACCAGACUUGCGCCGGGCCGAUCAUCCGGUGUUCUCACCGGUGCACUCGGCCCGGCUCAGGCCAGCAUCGGUUCUCGUGGGGGGAUAAAGGCGCCGGGAACGUAGCUCCUCCGGGAGUGUUAUAGCCCGGCGUGUAAUGCCCUCGCGGGGACCGAGGUUCGCGCAUCUGCAAGGAUG